UAGUAACGGCGAGUGAAGCGGGAUGAGCUCAAGCUUAAAAUCUCCGUGCAAUUUUUGCAUGGCGAAUUGUAGUCUAUAGAGGCGUGGUCAGUAUGAGCACUUGGAGAAAGUUCCUUGGAAUAGGACAGCAUGGAGGGUGAUACUCCCGUUCAUCUCUUAGCUGCUUGUGCGUACGACCCGUUUUCUUUGAGUCGCGUUGUUUGAGAAUGCAGCGCAAAGUAGGUGGUAAAUUCCAUCUAAAGCUAAAUAUUGGUGCGAGACCGAUAGCAAACAAGUACCGUGAGGGAAAGAUGAAAAGAACUUUGAAAAUAGAGUUAAAGAGUACCUGAAACUGCUGAAAGGGAACCAAAUCGUUUCCAGUGUCUAUAAUCCGUUGUAUAUUUCAUUGGCGAGUGUAUGCGUGCGUGUGCUGUUGCAGUGGCCUUUUGGUUGCGCUCGGCGCGUGUGUUGUGUGUGCUUGUUGGUGCCCUGUGCUGCGGUGGGACGUCAAGGUCAGUUCGUAUGCUGCGGGAAAUGGCUACCGAGGAGGUAGGGCUCACGCUUGCGUUUGUCUGUUAUAUCUUGGUAGACGAGUAGUCGCGGUUGGGACUGAGGUGCCUACAACGUGCUUUUGAGUGGGCUUGGGUCUCCGUGUGCGCCGUGUGCGGAUAGCUUGCUAUGCGUGUGUGGUUGUGUGUGGAUUGAUGCGAGCCGUAAC
rnacentral:rRNA from 1 species